rnacentral:rRNA from 1 species
GAUGAACGCUAGCGGCAGGCCUAACACAUGCAAGUCGAGGGGCAGCAUAAAAUAAACUUGUUUAUUUGGUGGCGACCGGCGCACGGGUGCGUAACGCGUAUGCAACCUACCUUACACAGGGGGAUAGCCCGGAGAAAUUCGGAUUAAUACCCCAUAGCACUAUCGGAUGGCAUCAUUUGAUAUUUAAAGCUUUGGCGGUGUAAGAUGGGCAUGCGUCCUAUUAGCUAGUUGGUGAGGUAACGGCUCACCAAGGCUACGAUAGGUAGGGGGCCUGAGAGGGUGGUCCCCCACACUGGUACUGAGACACGGACCAGACUCCUACGGGAGGCAGCAGUGAGGAAUAUUGGUCAAUGGGCGCAAGCCUGAACCAGCCAUGCCGCGUGAAGGAUGAAGGUUCUAUGGAUUGUAAACUUCUUUUAUUUGGAAUAAACCCCUUUACGUGUAGAGGGCUGAAGGUACCAAAUGAAUAAGCACCGGCUAACUCCGUGCCAGCCGCCGCCGUAAUAC